UACGGGAGGCAGCAGUGGGGAAUAUUGCACAAUGGGCGCAAGCCUGAUGCAGCCAUGCCGCGUGUAUGAAGAAGGCCUUCGGGUUGUAAAGUACUUUCAGUCGUGAGGAAGGUGUUAAGGUUAAUAACCUUAGCAAUUGACGUUAGCGACAGAAGAAGCACCGGCUAACUCCGUGCCAGCAGCCGCGGUAAUACGGAGGGUGCGAGCGUUAAUCGGAAUUACUGGGCGUAAAGGGCACGCAGGCGGUUAAUUAAGUUGGAUGUGAAAUCCCCGGGCUUAACCUGGGAAUGGCAUUCAAGACUGGUUAGCUAGAGUCUUGUAGAGGGGGUAGAAUUCCAUGUGUAGCGGUGAAAUGCGUAGAGAUGUGGAGGAAUACCGGUGGCGAAGGCGGCCCCUGGGACAAAGACUGACGCUCAUGUGCGAAAGCGUGGGGAGCAAACAGGAUAGAUACC
rnacentral:rRNA from 1 species